rnacentral:misc_RNA from 1 species
CACGCUGCAGUGCAUCAAGAGGUUGAUAUGGCUACAAAAAAUAAGGGUGCUGGAAGGGUUGCAUGGAGUAGUGAACAAUUUAACUUGUUUGUUAAAAUUUGUGUUCGAGGCACUAAUUUGGGCAAGAGAAAUGGUGGUGGAUGGGGUGACAAAGGAUAUAUAUGGUUACAGAAUGAAUUGAGGCAAGUUGGUGUAGAGUAUACUAAAGAGCAAUUAAGGCACAAGUGGGAUUGGAUGAAAGAUCAAUGGAAAAUGUGGAAAGCAUUAAAAGGGAAUGAAACAGAAUUAGGAUGGGAUCCCAUAAAAGGCACAGUUGUUGCUCCUGAUGAGUGGUGGAACGAAAAAAUUAAGGUAAGUUAAAUAAAGAACUAGCUUUUAAGGCUUUAUUAAACAAAUAGGCAUUUAAUUAUUUAUUAACACUAGUGUUUUGAUUUUUAUAUGUAUUAGGAAAAUUCAAAUUUUGCAAGAUUUCGAGAGAAAGGAAUUGGACAAGAGCUUUAUGAAAACUAUCAAGAAUUAUUUCUAGGAACUGUGGCUACUGGGGAAUUUGCAUAUGCACCAUCAUCUGGAGUUUUACCUAAUGAAACUUAGGAGACGCAACAAUUUAAUACCGCAAAUCAUGUUGAGGAGAAUAUUAAUGCAGAAUCUAAUUUUGAUGAUGAUUUAAAUGAAAUGAUGAAUGCUGGUUUUGGAUCUGGAGGUUCAUUCAGUCAAGCAGUAGGUGGAAAUGUGGGUUUAGAAAAUACAAAAAAUGAUAGUAGUCAACAUAACGUGCAAAAACAAAAGAGGAAAGAGUUGUCUAAUGACCUUGCAACAAAGAAAAAAAAGGAUAAUAAGGAAAAAAAGGUUUCAGGUGCUACAUAGAUGACUGAUACAGUUAAAGAGCUAAAAGAAACUAUAAAAGAGACCAUGGAGUCUAAGACUGCAACUAUGUGUAGUCUUUUGGGAGAUUGUCUUGGUUGUUCUAUUGAAGAAGUUAUGAAAGAUGUAUUAACUUUGCCACUUAUAGAGAAAGGAAGCGAUAUUCAUUUUUUCUGCACACUAGAUCAAAAGUCAAAAAGAGAGAUGUACAAUAUUCUCGAAGAUGCAGAAACAAAGUGGAAAUGGCUUCAAUUUCAUUUCUCAUUAUGGACUAAUGGUGUGUGGAAGCCUUCUACUUAGUAGAUGCUAUUGCUUGUAUUUGCUAUUUUUCUUAUUUUCAUUACUUGUUUGAACUCUUAAUUAUCAAGUUUGGCAUUGCAAUAAAGUUUUAGUGUAAUCAUGAACUUUUAAAGUUAAAAUAUUUAGUACUUGAUAUUAAUUUAUAUAUGAGGUUUAUUUGUUUUUAUUUUUUCUUGAUAGAUAUGAAUGUUGUUCAGCGAAUGAUUUGGGAUGAUGACGACGAUGAAGUUUGGCAGACAACCACAUAUGCAGUUGAUAUUAUAUGUAGCUAUUACUUGUCUUAUAUUCAUAAAGAACCUUGUAUGGAUUCAUUCCAUACAGGAUUUGUAUGGUUACAAGAAAUAAUGAGCGGUAAUGAGAGAAGAUGUGUUAAUUUAUUCAGAAUGGAUAAAGACACAUUAAUAAAACUUUGACUAGAUUUAGAGUGUCAUUACAAAUUAAAAUGUUCUAAAAAAAUGACUAUUUUAGAAAAAGUUGGCAUGUUUUUAUAUGUUCUCGCUUUGGGAGCUUCAAAUAGGCAAGUUCAAGAAAAGUUUCAGCAUUCAGUAGAAACUGUCAGUAGGAACUUUCAUGAAGUAUUAAAAGCAAUGCUGUGCUUGUCAAUUGAUAUGAUAAAACCGAUAGACCCCAUGUUCAGUAAUAUUCCUCCUGAGGUACUGAAUGAUGACAGAUAUAUGCCUCAUUUCAAGGUAUAUUUUUCAAAUUUUUUUCUUAUCUUUAUAUGUAGUACUAUAUUACAAAUAUCAUUAAAAAUUAUUAAGUAUUUUAAUUUUUAAAUUUAAACAUUUGAAAAAUAGGACUGCAUUGGAGCAAUUGAUGUAACUCAUGUGUCUGCUUGUGUUCAAGAAGAAAAUUUGAUUCGAUUUAUUGGUAGAAAAGGGGUGCCUACCCAGAAUAUUAUGGUUGCUUGUAGCUUUGAUAUGCAAUUUACAUUCGUAAUGGCAGGAUGGGAAGGUAUAGCUCAUGAUGGACGCCUUUUCCAGUAUGCUAUCAAUAAACAAAAUUUAAACUUUUCCAAACCACCACCAGGAAAAUAUUAUGUAGUGGAUGCUGGAUAUCAACAAAUGGAAGGAUAUUUUGCACCUUAAUAAGUUACUAGAUGUCAUUUACCUAAUUUUCAACGUGGUGGAAGACCAAGGAGACUCAAAGAAAUUUUUAAUCGUUAGCAUUCAUUUCUAAGAUGUUGCAUUGAACGAACUUUUGGGGUUUGGAAGGCAAGAUGGAAGAUAUUAUGAACAAUGCCUCCUUAUUCAUUUUAUGUACAAAGAGAUAUAGUAGUUGUGUCCAUAGCAUUACAUAAUUACAUUCGAAGAAAAGCAUUGGCUGAUCCAGCAUUUGAGCGAUUAGAUAAAAGUUCAAAUUUUAUAUCACCAGACAUAUUUCGUGAUGCAGAUGACAUUCAAGCGGAAGAAAGUAGUCAAGAAAGUGGAACACUUCAAAUGAAUGCAUUACGUGAUCAAAUCACUUGUAG